rnacentral:rRNA from 1 species
GACGAACGCUGGCGGCGUGCCUAAUACAUGCAAGUAGAACGCACAGUUUAUACCUUAGCUUGCUACACCAUAGACUGUGAGUUGCGAACGGGUGAGUAACGCGUAGGUAACCUGCCGGGUAGCGGGGGAUAACUAUUGGAAACGAUAGCUAAGACCGCAUAAUAUUGAUUAUUGCUUGAUAAUUGAUUGAAGGAGGCUAUUGCAUCACUACCUGAUGGACCUUCGUUGUAUUAGUUAGUAGGUGAGGUAACGGCUCACCUAGGCGACGAUACAGAGCCGAACUGAGAUGACGAUCGGCCAGCCUGGGAGUGUGACCGGCCCCAGUCGCCCACGGGAGCGAGCAGUAGGGAUACGUGGGCAAGGGGCGAGAGACUGAGCGAGAUAGGCGGAGUGAGUGAGGAAGGUCGUCGGAUCGUAAAGGUCUGUUGUAAGGGAAGAAAGGGCGUGCGCGUGGAAAGUUCACAGUGUGACGGUAUCUGAUCAGAAAGCAACGGCUAACUACGUG